rnacentral:sRNA from 1 species
AGUAGGAGAAUCAAGAUUAGUUAUAAUUAAAAGUAAUCAAAAUGUCGUUAGCUCAAUUGGUAAAGACCCUAGAUUUUUCUUUCAAUUUUUUGGAUGAAUUGUGCAAUGAAAACCGAAUAAAGAACGUGAAAUGU